GGUAGCGUAAUCAUUUGUCUUAUAAAUAAAGACCCGUAUGAAUGGCUAAAUGAGGGCAAGCCUGUCUCUUAUAAUUAAUCAGUGAAACUGAUCUUCCAGUACAAACGCUGGAAUAAACACAUAAGACGAGAAGACCCCGUGGAGCUUAAAACAAACCACUAACACACUUCAACCCUAGUGCACUGUUUUGAGUUGGGGCGACUUCGGAAUAAAAUAAAACUUCCGAGCACAGAACCACCACUUCCAACCAAGGCCAACAAGCCUAAGUAUAACCAGACCCGGCUACAUUGCCGAUCAACGAACCAAGUUACCCCGGGGAUAACAGCGCUAUCUUCUUCAAGAGUCCCUAUCAACAAGAAGGUUUACUACCUCGAUGUUGGAUCAGGA
rnacentral:rRNA from 1 species